rnacentral:rRNA from 1 species
CAGUCGCCGCGGUAAUACGUAGGGUGCGAGCGUUAAUCGGAAUUACUGGGCGUAAAGCGUGCGCAGGCGGUUGUGUAAGACAGGUGUGAAAUCCCCGGGCUUAACCUGGGAACUGCGCUUGUGACUGCACAGCUAGAGUAUGGCAGAGGGGGGUGGAAUUCCACGUGUAGCAGUGAAAUGCGUAGAGAUCGGAAGGAACAUCUGUGGCGAAGGCGGCCAUCUGGGACAACACUGACGCUGAGGCACGAAAGCGUGGGGAGCAAACAGGAUUAGAUACCCGCGUAGUCCCUGUCUCUUAUAC